AGAGUUUGAUCCUGGCUCAGAUUGAACGCUGGCGGCAUGCCUAACACAUGCAAGUCGAACGGAAACGAUGGGAGCUUGCUCCCAGGCGUCGAGUGGCGGACGGGUGAGUAAUGCUUAGGAAUCUGCCUUGAAGUGGGGGAUAGCCCGGAGAAAUCCGGAUUAAUACCGCAUGUGCUCUACGGAGCAAAGCGGGCCUCUGAUUCAAGCUCGCGCUUUGAGAUAAGCCUAUGUCGGAUUAGCUAGUUGGUAGGGUAAAGGCCUACCAAGGCGACAAUCCGUAGCUGGUCUGAGAGGACGAUCAGCCACACUGGGACUGAGACACGGCCCAGACUCCUACGGGAGGCAGCAGUGGGGAAUAUUGGACAAUGGGGGCAACCCUGAUCCAGCAAUACCGCGUGUGUGAAGAAGGCCUGCGGGUUGUAAAGCACUUUCAGUAGAGAAGAAAAGCCCAUGGUUAAUACCCGUGGUCUUGACGUAACCUACAGAAGAAGCACCGCUAACU
rnacentral:rRNA from 1 species